rnacentral:rRNA from 1 species
UACGUAGGCGGCGAGCGUUAUCCGGAUUUAUUGGGCGUAAAGAGUUGCGUAGGCUGUCCGAUAGAUCUUACUUCAAAUUCUGUGGCUUAACCACAGUUGCGGUAAGAUAUCAUCGGACUUGGCGAUUGAAGAGGGUGCUGGAACCGACAGUGUAGCAGUGAGAUGCGUUGAUAUUGUCGGGAACACCAAAGGCGUAGGCAGGCACCUGGUCAACUCGCGACGCUGAGGCACGAAAGCUGGGGGAGCGAAAGGG